rnacentral:rRNA from 1 species
GACGAGCGCUGGCGGCAUGCCUUACACAUGCAAGUCGAACGGUAACAGGUCUUCGGAUGCUGACGAGUGGCGAACGGGUGAGUAAUACAUCGGAACGUGCCUAGUAGUGGGGGAUAACUACUCGAAAGAGUGGCUAAUACCGCAUGAGAUCUACGGAUGAAAGCAGGGGAUCGCAAGACCUUGUGCUACUAGAGCGGCCGGUGGCAGAUUAGGUAGUUGGUGGGAUAAAAGCUUACCAAGCCGACGAUCUGUAGCUGGUCUGAGAGGACGAGCAGCCACACUGGGACUGAGACACGGACCAGACUCCUACGGGAGGCAGCAGUGGGGAAUUUUGGACAAUGGGCGAAAGCCUGAUUCAGCAAUGCCGCGUGCAGGAUGAAGGCCUUCGGGUUGUAAACUGCUUUUGUACGGAACGAAAAGCCCCGGGUUAAUACCCUGGGGUCAUGACGGUACCGUAAGAAUAAGCACCGGCUAACUACGUGCCAGCAGCCGCAGUAA